AUCUUUGUGCUCGGGCAUGUACGCUCACCAGUGAAGUUCCGACUGAGGUAGCGUCUUUUGCUGAUUGCAAAUUAAUUUCCGACCCGUCUGGUUGCUUCGGCUUCCAGCAAUUUUUGGAACCCCCACCCUCUCCUCAUCUCUUUUCUCUGCCCAGUGAAGACGACGCGUCUGAGGG
rnacentral:snRNA from 1 species